GCUGCUUCGUGUUUUGAGUGAACUGUCACUUUUUGAAAUAAAAAGAGAUUAAAGGCACCGACCUCAAGUUUUUAGUUUUUAGACUUAUUAACAAAAUUUAGAAUGUCUGCAGAUCAUAAAAAACGAGAAAACAUUGUUGAUAUGUCCAAAUUUUUGGAUAAGUCAAUACGUGUAAAAUUCCAAGGGGGAAGAGAAGUUAUUGGUGUACUAAAAGGGCAAGAUCCUUUAUUAAAUUUAGUACUUGAUAACGCAGAGGAAUUAUUACAUGAUCCGGAAGAUUUCAGCAUUUUAUUAGAAGAACGGCGCUCGCUGGGCCUUGUUGUUUGUAGAGGCACAGCAGUUGUUUUAAUUUGUCCUACCGAAGGAAUGGAGGAGAUUACCAAUCCCUU